rnacentral:rRNA from 1 species
AUUGAACGCUGGCGGCAUGCUUUACACAUGCAAGUCGAACGGCAGCACGGGUGCUUGCACCUGGUGGCGAGUGGCGAACGGGUGAGUAAUGUAUCGGAACGUAUCCAAUAAUGGGGGAUAACUAGCCGAAAGGUUAGCUAAUACCGCAUACGCUCUACGGGGGAAAGCAGGGGAUCUUCGGACCUUGCGUUAAUGGAGCGGCCGAUAUCUGAUUAGCUAGUUGGUGAGGUAAAGGCUCACCAAGGCGACGAUCAGUAGCUGGUCUGAGAGGACGACCAGCCACACUGGAACUGAGACACGGUCCAGACUCCUACGGGAGGCAGCAGUGGGGAAUUUUGGACAAUGGGGGCAACCCUGAUCCAGCCAUUCCGCGUGAGUGAAGAAGGCCUUCGGGUUGUAAAGCUCUUUCGCAAGGGAAGAAACGAUACAGUCGAAUAAGCUGUGUUAAUGACGGUACCUUGAUAAGAAGCACCGGCUAACUACGUGCCAGCAGCCGCGGUAA